AAAUAGCGCAUAUCACUUCGGCAGAUAUCGGACGAUGUCGGUAUUUUCCGGAAUUUUCAUUCAGGAACUUAGUUUUAUUUUAUUUUUUACAUUUUUGAAUAUCAUUUAAUAAAACCAUUAAUAAAAAGACAAAUACAUAAAGAAUUUUUACCAAUAGUUUUCUAUUAUCAAAAAAUUACGGAGUUCUCGUCUACUCUCUUACAACGAGAUCCAAUGGCGGCGCCCAUGAAAAAACAUUGCGAAUGCCGAUUUAAAAAAAUAAACAAUGAUAAACGUUUCACAUUAGAAUUAACAGUCUAUCGAGUGAUCAUAUGGUACGAUGGGCGCCAAAAAAUUAUCAUCUAUUGUGCUAACAAGACCUGUCGGCUCUGAAUAUGCUGUGAAUAGCCCAAAACAUCCGGGUUGACGUCAUUUCGACAUGUACAAUGAUCAGAUGAUAUAGAAAAAGUAGGCAUCGAAAACAACGAUUGUCCACAAAACGCUUGAUUUAGCAAUGGUCUGUGUUGAUGUUAUUUUCUCUGAAAGCAAACUGUCUGUAAUCUGCAGCCAUUCAGCUACUGUUCCAGAAACUUGAAGGCGUAAAAAGUGAGCUGCCAUUACCACAGUACCUCAGAUAUGUAGGAACCAUGACAUUCGGGCAUUUCUGUUCUGUUGAAAUAAUACUUGAGCUGGAACCAUGACAUGAAAGAAGACCUUAGGAAAUAUAUGCAAGUGGAGAUUGAGACAUUAAAUUUGAAAAAUGAAAAGACUUAUGAAGCAAAUAGCAAGUUCUGAAUGCUUCAAACUAACUGUUAGUAGACUUUGGAUGACUUACUGCAAACGUAGUGCAAAAAAGACUCAGAUACAAAUGUAUCAUAACAAUGCUUACAUGCCAAACUUCCAGGGCAUCUAUACAGGAGAAUUCAGUUGAAAGUCCAGGAGAUUUCAGAAUUUACAUUGUACCUAGUUUAAUAGUAUAAUUAAAAAGAUAGUUCUGAAUUCUUUUUGGUAAAUCUGAUUCAUUUUUAAAUCUACAAGGUAUUGUCAUCAUUUUUUGAUCUUUGUCAGCUUUGGUCUUGGUUAACAUUUUUGCUUAUGUUCCUCUUUUCUUGGAAACUAUAAGAAAUAUAGCUUUGAAACUUAGUUCACCUGUUUAUCAUCAUUAGAUAGCCAAGAGUCAUAAUUCCCACUUCUGUCACUUUUUGGCAGAAUUAUGACCCCUUGUGUACCUAGAAAAUUGGAAUUUCUUGGUUAAAUAUUUGGUUAAAUUAAAUGUUUCAUACUUUAAGAGCUAUAGCUUGAAACUUUAAAUGCUUGUUUAUCAUCAUUAGUUGACUAAAUAGGUCAUGAACCAUAACUAUUGCUUGUAUUCUGUCAGAAUAUGGGCUUUUUAAAUUUGUAUUUCUUGGUCAAUUUUUUGUUUAGCUCGACUGUUUGAAGAAUAGAUAGAGCUAUCCUACUCAUCACGGCGUCAGCGUCGGCGUCACACCUUGGUUGAUUUUUUCGUACCAUUUCACAUAUUGACAAAACUUUUUGAGGUAAUGCUUUAAAACUUUCAACACUUGUGUACCAUCACCGUGUCAAGUUCUAGGCAAGAAUACUUAACUCCAUCAAGGAUUUUGGCUGAAUUAUGGUCCCUUUUAACUUACAAAUCUGGGUUAAGUUUUCAUACCAGUUCAUAUAUUGUGCAGACUGUUUGAUAUGUGGCUUUGGAACGUUUAUACCACUUGUUUAUUUUAUCUGUAGGCCUGGCAAGAGUACAUAACUCUGUCAAGUAUUUUGGCUGAUUUAUGGUCUUUUUGGACUUGAAAAUUGGUUCAGUUUUUGUACAAGUCCAUGUUUUGUCAAAACUUAUGACAUGUGGCUUUGAAACUUUGAACACUUGCUUAUUAUCAUAAUUUCCAUCUGUAGGCAAGAGAACAUAACUCUGUCAACUAUUUUGGCUGAAUUAUGGCCUUUUUUGGACUUGGAAAUGGUGAAGUUUUCGUACAAGUCAACGUUGUGUCAAAAUUGUUUGACAUGUGGCUUUGAAACUUUGAGCACUUGCUUAUCAUCAUGAUCUCCAUUUGCAGACAAGAGUACAUAACUCUGUCAACUAUUCUGCCAGAAUUAUGACCCUUUUUGGACUUGAAAAUCAGUUAAAUUUUUCAUACCAGUCUACAUUUUGCCUAACCUGUUUGUGAAAUGGCUUUGAAACUUUUACCACUUGUUUACCAUCAUAAUAUAUGUAUGUAGGCAAGACUACAUAUGGUAACUAGGACAAGGACUUUAGCUCAGUUAUGGCCUUUUUGUGAGAAAGAAAUUUGUUAAGUUUCGCAUGCGAUUCCAUAUUUUGUCUAAACUGUUUGAUAUAUGGCUUUGAAACAUUGAACAGUCUUGCUUACCAUCAUGAUCACAUAUUGCCAUAUAUUGCAAGACUUAUCCAAAUCCACAAAAACAGGUACAUUGUUUGUCUAAUUUAUUUUUCAUCUUUUGUCUGCAAAUCUCUGGUAAUAUUUUGACCCCAUACUUCCAUCAAUUCUUCGAAUAGUCAAGUGCGCUGUCAACAGACAGCUCUUGUUUGUGAAUACUAUAAGAUCUAUUUGCUUUAAAACUUUGUACAUUUCUUUACUAUCAGUAAGUGAGUAAGAAGGUCAAGAACCAUUUAUAACACUUUCUAUUGCAUAUUGUUAAACGUCAAUCAAUUACAGGCAAGGGUAGACACCCGCAGGCGUUUCUGUGGUUCAUACCAAUUUUGACAUAUUUUAAUGAAUGUCUGGGGUAAUUUUGACUAAAAGAAGUUGCUUAAGUGUUAUGAUAGCAUGGUUUUUGAUAACUUUAGAUUCUGACAUUUGAAAGCAGUAUGGGUAAAAAAAGAACAUGUCAGUAAUGUAAAUGCUAUAAUCUAAGGUCAUUUCAUUUGUAACAUUUAUUGUAAACUACACUACUUUCAAGUCAUAAUUUGUAAUGAAUCACAAAAUUUUGAAGUAACAAAUUUAUAUUCAAUUCCUUUUGAUUUUGCAUUAUUUUUGCUGGUGGGUGGGGUAAGUCUAUUUAUAUAGUGGUUUUUUUCUCUAAAAUACAGAAUUGUAUGUUGUUUUUCUAAUGGCUUUUACUUGCAAAUAUUUUAUACUAUCAUAUUUAUAAUCUUGAAACAUGUAACUGAUGGAACAUACUGUUUUCAACUUAACAAUAUGUUAUGUUGUUUUAUGUACCAGCAAAUAUUUAGUUAUUCGUGAAGCGAAGUUGACAGCUAAAGUUAUUGCAUUUUAUAUUUAAAAAAGGUAUAUUAAUACUAUGUAUUGCAUCAAACAUCUGAUAAGAUGUUGUUUUGUCUGUUGAAGUAAGCAGUUGUAUUACUUAAAUGUUUAAAUAGAAAAACAGCCAAAAAUAUGCAACAUAUUAGAUUAAUUUUGGUGCUAACUUCAGCUUUAUUAGACAUUUUUGAUAUUGGUUACCUUGAUAUAGUCUGUCUCGUAAAAUUUUAAAAUGCAUGGUGACCUAUACUUUUUAAUAUUUAUUUCAUUUAUAUAUACAGCUAUCUUAAUUUUUGAAAAGUUUCAGGAAAGUAAAGAAUGUAGAAAGGUCUGUAACUCUUCUUCAAAUAAUCUGGAUUCAUAAUGGUUUCAGUGAUUUAUGUAUAGAUUUUACGAGACAAGAUUUAGAUUUUUGUCAUUUAUCUGCAGAUAACUUCGAUUGAAAUUCAAAUGUUUGUAUUAUUUUUCAAUAAUAUAGUGUUUUGUAGGUCAUAUAACUAUUUGGAAUGGAAAUCACUUGUAAUAUUAGCAAAAUAAAAUUUUGAAAUAUAAA